UAUCAACAUAGCAAAUGUCUAGUGUACUUACUUUAGGAGUAAGGGGAGGGGAUAAACCCUGUUGAUU
rnacentral:tRNA from 1 species